GAAUAAAUCACUAAAUGCACACCCAUAUGAAAGGAGAAAGCAGAUUCAUUAACAAGUAACUUAAAACUAAAGCUUGCAUUGUUACAAGGUUACAAUGUUGGAUGAAUCAGAAAAGUGAACAAGUUUAAAAUGCCUUUGCUGUUGUUCCACAAAAUGCUAAGUUUCUACCACCAAUCAUAAUUUCCCCUAAACAGCACACGGCCAGAGCUGUUAAACCUUGAUGCGGAAAAUCUGUUCUCGAAAGGCAUAGUCGAACCUUGAAAUGAUGAAGAUUCUAAAUGACUAUUAUGCAUUUUCUUAUAAGUUUGAGAACCUGACAUACCUGAAUGACUCUUGUACAUUCUCUUGGAAGAUUGAGAAUUUGACAUCCAACCACCAGAUGUUGCAGUAGAAAUCUUAUGACCCCUAUAAGAUGGUGUUGAAGGAGACCUCCAACGAUUCUUUUUGUACUUCAACUUGGAUGAAUCUUCAGGAUCCUCUGUAAGCCAUCCACCUCUUUCUUUGGAUUUUUUAGGUGUUGUGUUGGUUUGUUCUUCAGACUUGUUUUUUCUCCUUUUACGAGACUUUCCAAGAUCUUGAGGUGCAGAUUUGAAUCCUGUAACUUUUCUGUUCUCUCUAUGAGGCUUCAAAUAAGGUGUUGAUAAUUCAUGAUUCCUCUUCCCAGUCUUUGCAGAACUUGUGCAUUCACGUGCAAAAUGUCCUUCUUCACCACAUUUGUAGCAUAAUAAAGGUGAAGCUGCAGUGGUGGCUUCCUCGUGCAAACUUGAGCACUCCAAACCAUUAUGACCGAUUUCACCACAUUUAUAGCAAGAAACUUCCCUUGGGCUAUUUUCAAUGAAGUUAACACAACAUAGAUGGCCAAAGCUCUUGCAGAUGUAACACUGUAUCUCCUUGAGAUCAUCAAGAGAAUAAUUGUUCUUGCAUGAAAACAUAUCAUGCCCAGAAUCUCCGCAUUUUAAACA
rnacentral:misc_RNA from 1 species